GACGAACCGGUCUUGAUUGCAUUUCACCGGGUACACUCCUUGGUAAUGAGACUCGUACCCUUGGCUCUGUACCGCGAAAUCGAACGCGGAUUGGAGACACUCGAGGCGGUUUUUAAGAACGUCAGGGAACCGGACGAUAACCGGGAGGUGUAAUCCUAAACCGCCGGUUUGUUUCGGAUCUGUUACUUUCUUGACGAGUUUCAACAGAUCGAUGUCUUGAUGAGGGAGAGUGUUGGAGCCGUGAGGGCGAACGGAGAUGUUGCCGGAGGAGUUGGCGGAGAAGUAAGGAGCUCCCCAUCCGUCGAUGCGGUAGAGAGAGGAGGAGAGAGAGGGGCUCCACGUGUCGACGACGGCGGCGGUGGAGGAAGGCUGUGGUGACGGUGGGAUGAACACGUCGGUGGUGUAGGUGUCGACGCAAGCUAAAGCAGGCAUCUUGAUUCAAUACUCUGUUUUUGACGAAUCUAUUCGAAAGGUUUGAGGUGAAAACCGAGAGGUUGAUAUUGUAAGUCUGAACCGGAUCCGACCCGCCUAUAGCCUUUAAAACCCAUUCGCAUAACCCAUCAACAGAAGCUAACUGCUCAAUGCUCAAAACACCGUCUUUAAAGCCUUCAACACAUCUCUGCUUCAGCUUGUCAACGUAAAGUAAACACCUUUCUUGAUCCCCACGCAUCACAGCAGAGUACAGCUCCUCGUAAUCAUCACCUUCGAGCAAAAACUGAAUAUCAUCAUGAUCAGCUUGAUGUUUAACCGUUGAGACAGCUUCAAAGAUCAACACUGAGUGAUGAGAGACGAUAGCUCUUCCGCUUUCACUACAUAUCACAGGAUGCUUCACCGAUCUCCUCUCGCAUACAAACCUAACAGAAGCUACAACAGCUUCAGCGUACUCCUCGAGAGUAUAAGCCACAGAGAGAUCACUCUCUCCGGACUUAGACCCGUCGUAGUCAAUCCCCAACCCGCCACCAAUGUCUAUAACCUUCAUGUUCGCGCCGAGACGGACAAGCUCACAGUAGAGCUGAGCAGCUUCUGAGACACCAUCAGAUAGCAACGAAGUGGAUGGGAUCUGCGAGCCGAUGUGGAAAUGCAAAAGCUGGAGACAGUCAAGCAUACAAGCUUCACUAAGCUUCCUCACGACACGAACUAUCUGAGUAGUGGUCAAACCGAACUUCCCCUUCUCACCCGAAGUUGAACCGAAGUGACCAGAGUGUUUAGUCCUAAGCUUGGCUCGUAAACCAAUCACAGGCCUCACGUUCAUCUUGUGGCUAAGAUCGAUAACAAGAUCAAGCUCCUCUUCUUGCUCCAACACAAUCACAGUGUUCAACGCUAGCUUCCUUCCCAACAGAGCUAGCGAGACAUACUCAGCGUCUUUGAAGCCGUUACAUAUAAGAAAGGCUUCGUUGUUGCCUUUACAUAAACAACUCAUAGCGAGGAGGAUCUCCGGUUUAGAUCCAGCUUCCAAACCGAACCGGAAUUGAGAUCCGAAUCUCACAAUGUCCUCCACGACGAACCGGUCUUGAUUGCAUUUCACCGGGUACACUCCUUGGUAAUGAGACUCGUACCCUUGGCUCUGUACCGCGAAAUCGAACGCGGAUUGGAGACACUCGAGGCGGUUUUUAAGAACGUCAGGGAACCGGACGAUAACCGGGAGGUGUAAUCCUAAACCGCCGGUUUGUUUCGGAUCUGUUACUUUCUUGACGAGUUUCAACAGAUCGAUGUCUUGAUGAGGGAGAGUGUUGGAGCCGUGAGGGCGAACGGAGAUGUUGCCGGAGGAGUUGGCGGAGAAGUAAGGAGCUCCCCAUCCGUCGAUGCGGUAGAGAGAGGAGGAGAGAGAGGGGCUCCACGUGUCGACGACGGCGGCGGUGGAGGAAGGCUGUGGUGACGGUGGGAUGAACACGUCGGUGGUGUAGGUGUCGACGCAAGCUAAAGCAGGCAUCUUGAUUCAAUACUCUGUUUUUGACGAAUCUAUUCGAAAGGUUUGAUUUUUUUGAUUACCAGAUUUUGUGAAGGUAAGGGGUUUGAAAACCGCCGAGGCCGGAGCCUCGGCUACCCCCUCAGGAGAAGGCAGAAGAUGUAUCUGUCGCCGCCGUGAAACCCACCUCGAGCAGCGCGGCCUGAUCCGAGAAUCUCCACGGUGAAUGUUUCAGAAGAAAGGUGGAGACUUUAAUUUAAAAAAACAGGGUUUUUUUUUUACGAAUUUGAGAAACAACAGAUUCUAUUCCCCGACCAUGCAGAGAGAGAGAUAAUGGAUUUAUAUGGAGAGAAGGGGGACGAGAAUGUGAAGUUUCUCGGGGAAAAUGCAAAGAGAAACAGAGCGGAAAGUGAGGGAGAAGGGUGUGAGAUUGAUGAAGGGGAAGUGGUAUUGUUUAUAUAGGAGGAAAAGCUUAGUUAGGAGAAGGUGAUGACUGAGGCAAGUUGGAUUCGGCCCAUGGGGCCCAUUUCCCCAUUUCUCUUUUUCUCUUUUCACCUUUUUUUUACAUUUUCACUAAUUAAAGAAACUGCAAAAAAUCUUACGUGACUGACUACGUCAGUGAGUGAUUAUUCAGGUGGUGUUUUUACAUAUUAACCCAGUACUGUCUUUUUUUUUACAAAACUCUUAACUAGUGUUCAUUUACAAUUGUGAAUACUAGUGUUUUUUCUGUUAAAAAAAAGUAAACGCUAGUCUUUUUAAGUAUAUUUCGAAAUUUAAUCGUGUAUCUUGCUGGUCUACACUACUGUUACGGUUAUGCCAUUACGUGGAAUGAACUUCAUGUAUCAACUGUAAAAAAAAAGAAGUAAAACAACAUUGCGUGUACAUAUUGAUUGUUUCUUCUCCAUUGGCCCAACUUUUAUUCACAUUGCCUGUACCAAACAAUUCCUUAGAUGAUAUGUUCCUUUUGGUGAAGAAAAAAGAUGUUCCUUUUGGAUUACCAAAAAUAAAAUACGUUUCAUUUUAUUUUUAAAAAUUAAUAUAUUUAUACAAAUUUCAUAUAUUUAUACAAAUUUGGCCCAUGGAUAUAUAAAUAUAUACUAUCAUUAAUAUUUGUUUAUAACAAAUUUCGUAUAUUUAUAAAAAUAUAUACUAUUUUUUUAGCAAAGAAAAUAUUAGUAUAUACAAAUUUCAUAUAUUUACACAAAUUUUUCUUUGCUAAAAAUUAAUAUAUUUUUACGAAUUUCAAAAUACGUUUCAAGAAUUUUUCGCGACAAGGUUAGGAUUUAGGAGUAAAUCGAGAAUAUUCCUUAUAUCUACUAUCAUUAAAAGAAAACUUAAUUAAAGUUUAUCCAUUAAAUAAGCAGGAUACUGAAUCAUAUAGUAACGUUUAGUAAAAGUUUUAAAUGCGAAAGAUUUUCGAUUCGGUUUUGGAGAAUGUCUAGAAGACAAUAACAACUAAUCUUAUAAUGAUAUUGGACUAUUACUGGACAACAGUGGAAGUGAAAAUAAAUUUCUUUCGAUUAUAGAAUAACAUCUUUUUUUGUUUAAUAACAUCUGAUUUUAUUUUACAAAUCAUCUUUAUUUACUUUUUAAAAUUAAUAAUCUUUCUUGCAGCUCAUUUGGUGCUCGUGAUUUGAAAAGGUUUUUUUUGGUAAAAGUUUAUGUUUAGAUUGGUAAUGUCUUUGCUCAAAAGUAAAAAAAGAUUGGUACUCCCUCCGUUUUUUAAUAUAAGUCGUUUUAGAGAAACUUUUUUGUUCCAAAUUAUAUGUCGUUUUCGGUUUUCUAUGUAAAAUUUAUUAAUAAUUAAUGUUGUAUGACCAAUGGUAAUAUAUCUUCUAUUUUUCUAUUGGUUGAAUUGUGGUUAGGUAAAUAAUUAAUUAUAUUUUUGUCUAGAAAAUAUAAGAAAUUAAUGGUUUUCUUAAUCUACGUAUAUAGCUGUAAAACGACUUAUAUUAAAAAACGGAGGGAGUAGUCUUUAUGAAUUUUUUUUUGUCACUAGUCUUUAUGAAAAUAUCUAAAUUGGUAAAAGCAACGUGUGUUUUAUAAAUUAGAACUCGCAAUGAGAUUGGAUCCGACUGUUGUGUCUUUGCUUUGUGGUGUAGGUAACACUCUGACACAUGGCAAAUAAAUGCUAUAGGGGCGCAUGUACCUAAUGGACCAAUUUUUACCUCUUUCUAACAAAAUUUAUUCGUGCGUGAUAGUGUUUAUUUAAAAAAAAUACAAAACAGGUAUUUAUCGUUUCAUAAAAGUUUCCAUGUUAUCAAUGAUACAGUUCCUAUACAGAAAGAUUAUAAAUAAACAGACAAUAUAAUUGACCAAAGAAAAACAAUUUCAAAUUUAUGAGAACAAGGUUCCAUUUUGGCACGGCCAUUCAGUUACGAGUCGCCGCGUGGUGGUGUUACGUGGGGGAGUAGUUGUGUUAUGAAGUUUCCUCUUUGCUAACGGACCAUGCUUUAUUUGGAAGCGUGUAAAUAAAUUUGUCAGCAGCCUAUACAUAUAAUAAUAGUCUUCGUCCAAUCGAUUUAUUUUGGUGUUGAGUAGACAUUAUAUUCUCCUAAGAAAAAUAAGAAUAUUACAUCGCCAAUUCUUCUUUUUUUUUUUUAACAAAAAUCACCAAUUCAACAUAUAAAUUUUCUUGAAAUUACAAUGAAAAAAUAUUUUUUCUUUAUUACACAAAAAUUAUCGUUUUAAAAUUUCAAUGCAUUUUAUACUUUCAGCUGAAUAUUAAUUGUAAAAUACAUUGAUCUGAAAUACUAUUGAAAUGAACUUUUCAAGGAUCCUAAUUCAAAUUAUGUAGUAUUUAAGAUGUCAAUCCAUUUUUAAAAGUUUCAAGAUCUUUUUGUCAUGAAAAGCUUUGGUUUUCUCCUGUAGAUCAUUGAGUUCUCAAAAGCAUCCAGUCUAAUUUCAUCAAGCUCAUUGAGUUGGAGAAGUCUCUUCUCCUUGGCACUCUUGGUGUCAAAAUUCAGCAACUUAACAGUCCACAAUGCCUUGUACUCAAGCUCAACUGGUAGAUGACAAGUUUUUCCAUACACAAUUCUAAGUUGAUUUUGACAUUGAGAUUUGUUCCUUACUUGAGACUAAGUCUUAUGUUACGGCGCCAAAUUUGAAAUGGACUUUUCAAGGGUCCUAAUUCAAAUCAUGUAGUAUUUAAGAUGUCAAUCCAUUUCUAAAAGUUUUAAUGCAGAGAGAAUUUAGGUUCAAACUUAAACUUAAGCUAAAUGCAAUCAAAGUGAUAGGGUGAUUCAAUCAAGCUAACAAGGUUCUAAUACAACUAACUAGCAGCUUUCAAGCAAUUGGAUUAAGGAGGAGCCAUAGGUAUGGGAAUUUGAAUUUAGAUGACUAAGUUUUAAUCUAAAAUGCAAGCUUCAAUCAACACAUUCCCCUAAGUCUAGAUAACAUUUUUAAGCUAGUUCUUUAUCAAGACAAAAACUCAUUUACUCUCAACAUUUUUAAGCUAGUUCUUUAUCAAGACAAAAGCUCAUUUACUCUCAUAGAUCAAACAUCAAAUUUCUUUGGUUUGUGUCUAGCUAGGAAUCAUUAAGAACAUAUCAUUCAACUAUCAAAACUCCCCCAACAUCAAAUGUCUUUGGUAGGGUAAGUUAAGAGCAUGUUGAGUUGGCUCAGACAUUUCAUCGAACACCUUUCACGCAAUGAAAUGUCUAGAUCUCUAAUAUGAGAUGGCCAGCUCUAGAUUAGCAUUAAGAUCACUCAAUCAAACAAGGAAACAUAUUAAUAUAUUCUAAACGUUCUAAAUCAUCACUUAAUCAUCCUAAUCAUCCUAACCCAUGAAUCCAAAGAUGACUACUCACUAACUGCCAUGAUAAACCCAAGAAUCAAUGAUGGUUUAGUGUUAAUCAUGAUUAGUGAUCAAGAUAAUUAAGCAAUCACAAAAGAUAAUGAUAAAGAUUAGAUCUUUCACCUAAAAGUGUUUUUUGAUUAGAUAGAAAACAAGAUAAGAUCCAACUUUGAGAUUACAAGAGUAUUUAUAACUCUUUGGAAAACCUAAUGGCUUCCUUUAAAACGUCUAAAAUGCCCUUAAAAAUGUCUAAAUUCGACUAAAGAAAAGAUCCGACUCUGGUAGAAAUCACGGGCGACAACCCGAGUUGGUUACCCCGCGUCGUCAGGCCGUCGACGCUGUCUCUCCGUGCGCGCGGGUACAACACCCCGCGUUGGAUCGUCGACGAAGCUCACUCUCCAUGCGCGCAGGUACGACUCCCCGCAUGAUAUCGCCGUCGAGCUCCAUCUUCAUGUGCGGGUAUGGCUUCCCGCGUUCUUCUCUCUGUGUUGAAACGUCGUUGUUUCUUCUUGAUGAGUCGACGCGGGUAAGUGAAUCCGUGUGGAUUAACCCGUGUUGCACUCGGCCAAACCAACCAAUCUUCAUUCUUCAUUACUUUUUGAACCACAAUGCUUCUAAACACCUCCAAUCACUCCAUAUGACACCCUAAUACCUGAUAAAGACAUAUGAAUGCAAUAUGGAUCCUAAAAAUGCUUAAUUUUUAAUCUAUAUGAUUAAUGUAUACAAAAUGGAUGGUUAAAACAAUGCAAAUAUGCAAGAUAUCAACUACUGGUGAAAUAAAUGUAAUUAUUGAAAACAUAAAUACAUAUCCAUUAUUUUCUAAUAUGUGUAAAAUAGUAUGUCUAAGUGAUACUCCUGUGUUUCUAAAAGAUCCAUAUUCUAUAUUUUUCACACAUUUUAAUAAAAUAAAAUAAAUUUGCAUAAUUUUUUGUGUUUAUUUUUUUCUAAUAACUCUAAGCCGAUAAAAAAUCAAUUAGUGCAAUUAAGUUUUUUAAAAUUUGCAAUUAGUUAAUAAAACAUGCAUUGAAAAAAUAAAAAAUGGAUUUUUUUGAAACAAGUUUUUUCUCUAGAAUAUGUAACUUUAUAGAACGGAGGGAGUAAUAUUUUUUUAUGAAACGGACAGACUAUCGUGGAUAAUCAAGCAACAUUUCUGCUGUGUGUUUCAAGGAGUGAGUUGUGGUUUUUUAUUUGUGCAACUUUAAUUGUUUAGUUAUCGCAAUGAAUCUGGUGUAAUGAUUCAAAUUUACAUUUAAUUUAGCGAAUGCUGUCCAGAGACUAAUAAAUAACGGUACAUUGAUGUAUCCCAGUGGGCUGAUGAAUGCUAUUAAAUUUUCUGAUUUUCUAAUUGAAGUCAUCCCAUUCUCUAUAAUUGUGUAUUACUUCAAUGCUCUUCAACCUCCUCUUUCUCUAUUAAAUUGUUUGUAAUUCUAUCGUAUUUUUUGUAUAUAUACGUGAAUUGUUUUGCAAACGCAAAAACACCAUAUAUACAACAUACUUGAAGUAUGCACCAAAUAUUAAAACCAUAAUACCUUUCUGUUUUAUCAUGAGAAACUAAGAGCAGAUGAGCAUCUGAAUCUGAAUUUGAGCAACUUACACUUGGAAUAUGCAAUAGACUAGGAAAAGAAAACGCGUUAGCGGCCGCUUACUGAACGCGGACGCCACACGUACACUACUAACUCUUGUGGCUAUCGUAAAUAGUGCUCUUUCAAUUCAUCUUUCAUACCACUAUUCUAUUUCAAAAAAAUAUUCGCGUUAUCUUUAGUUUAAUGAUAUUCGUAAUGAGUCAUAUACAUUAUAUAAUCUUUAAAGUGUGGUAGUACAUCCCAAUAUCCCAUCGCCCAUCGUACGAAAGAUAUAGCUCUUAAUUACGUGACGUGUGAUUUGGAGAUUCAUUGUCAUGUGGUUGUGAUGGUCAUAUUAAGGCUACGCAAAAGACUUUGAUACUCUCGAUAAUGCAUUCUAAUGUGCGUGUCCAACCCGGCUAACUAAUUCUAGCGUUCUUGUUUUAUGUUUACCCUAUUUAUUUUAUUUAUCUUAUCAUAUAUGAAUUCAUCUGAAGUUUAUGAACAACUUUUCUUUUUGAAAGGUUCUAAUCAGUAUGGUAUUAACAAAACUAUUUAAUUUCAUGCCAUACACAAAACCACAUUUGAGGCGGAUUGUGUUGCUAAUGUAAAUCGUCCGGUAGUUCAAACCAUUUGUAGUUUCUCUCGUUUUACAUUUGGAAGGGGGGGGGGU
rnacentral:lncRNA from 1 species